GGUUCCAUGGCUCAGUUGGUUAGCGCGUGGUGCUAAUAUUGAAACAAAUGUUAACGCCAAGGUCGAGGGUUCGACCCCCUCUGGAACCA